rnacentral:lncRNA from 1 species
AUCCGUUAGUUCAAUGGUAGAUCCGAUCCAACAAAAAAUUUUACCACUUAUGUAGCAUGAUCCUCUACCAUAUAAUAUAAGCUAAUAUUCGAUAAUUUAUUUUUCUAUUGAUAAAUUAUAUAUUUUAAUUGAUAAAAAUAUCGUUGGCUUGGUAAGGAUGCUGAUCCGACCCAACAAAAAAUUUUACCGCUUACAUUGCAUGAUCUUCUAUUAUAUAAUAUAAUUUAAUAUUCAAUAUUUUAUUUUUCUGUUG